rnacentral:rRNA from 1 species
GAGUUUGAUCUUGGCUCAGAUUGAACGCUGGCGGCAUGCCUUACACAUGCAAGUCGAACGGCAGCAUGAUCUAGCUUGCUAGAUUGAUGGCGAGUGGCGAACGGGUGAGUAAUACAUCGGAACAUGCCCUGUAGUGGGGAUAACUAGUCGAAAGAUUAGCUAAUACCGCAUACGACCUGAGGGUGAAAGUGGGGACCGCAAGGCCUCAUGCUAUAGGAGCGGCCGAUGUCUGAUUAGCUAGUUGGUGGGGUAAAGGCCCACCAAGGCGACGAUCAGUAGCUGGUCUGAGAGGACGAUCAGCCACACUGGGACUGAGACACGGCCCAGACUCCUACGGGAGGCAGCAGUGGGGAAUUUUGGACAAUGGGCGAAAGCCUGAUCCAGCAAUGCCGCGUGUGUGAAGAAGGCC